UUGAAAGACAACCUCUUCAUAAAAAGUUAAAAAGCUAAAAAUGAGCUGAAAAUGAAGAACACUCGAGAACCAAAAUGAAACCAUUCCACUGAGUGUUUAAUCUGUCAAGAGAGCUGUGUUUAAUAAGAAUAUAGCACUAACUGGUGUAUACAAUUUGGAGAUGAAAAAGAGGGUUGUUAGCUACUGUUUUUCUAGUGUAAAGAGAGGCUAAGUUGGUUCAAAAUUGCUGUGGUCUUUUUUUAUACUUGAACAAGGUCUGAGCAUACUUAACUUGAUGAUUUACAACUGCUGAAGGUGCUGAGGACUUCAUAUAGCAACUGUUUAUUGUGUGAGGAAGUGUAUAUGACAUAUUGAAGACUGGGGGAGUAAUGUUUGGGUGGUUCUAAAGGCUGAAUUACAAAGCUGCCCUUGAAAGCUUGAAUACUAAGGUUUGGUGAGACUAAGGCUGCUUAUGAAGUAAAAGUGCUAUAUCAUGCUAUCUGAAUUGAGCUCAUCAAUUAAGCAAGUAUAUUUUGUUGAUACAAGACUGUGGGAGGCAUUUACAUGGCUGAUCUGAAGCUACAUUGUGAAGAGACCAUUCUACCCUUGAAUUUGUGAAUUAAGCCUUUUGUGAAGUGACAUUGUGAUACCUUGCUCCAAUCACUGUGAAUCUUGUUGAGCAAAGUUAUAUGAAGAUAUAAAGGCUGUGGGUGUCAAGUGUAGGUCAGUUCUGAAGCUACAAAGUGAAGUUACUUCAUUACUCUUGACUUUAGGGUUUUUGCCUUGUGGGAGCUGUUCUUGUUAUACCUUGCUUAUCUUCUUGCGGAAUCCAUACAAGCAAGUGUAUUUGACUGAUUCAAGCCUGUGGGAACCUAAUUUGAUCAUCAAGUGAAGCUGCAUUGUGUUUUGACAGUUCUAUCCACCUUAUUACAGAGAAGUGAAGCUAAGGUUUCUUACAUUUGAUACUUAGAGCUGUGUAUUCAUUCUUAUCUUAUGUUACAACUUAAGUAUUCUGUAUUUGGUGUGUUGACACCUUUAUUCAUUUUUGAUUAAGCUAUUGAGAGCUUUGUUGUACAAGCAUAGGGGCUGUGGACUGGGGGAGUGCUUAUUUGCAUUGUUUGAUCUUGUGUGUGUGUAGAGGCUGUGAAAGUCAAUGUCCUAGUGAGUACAAGGUGGUUGGAAAGUGGGGUAGCUGAGUGAGUAACUACUUGCAUGCAACAAGUGAAGAUGGUGAGCUAGUGUGUGUGGAUUGGUUAUGAAAGCUAGUAUCUAUUCUUUUACAAGGGUAUGUGCAAUGAGUAAGAUAACUGAGUGUGUAACAAGGUUCAUACUACUAGUGGAGGCAUUUAUUGGCUGAGGCCAAGAACUAA